rfam:Fistulina hepatica ATCC 64428 unplaced genomic scaffold FISHEscaffold_50, whole genome shotgun sequence.
GGUGGUAUAGUGUAGCGGUUAGCACAUGGGAUUCUGAUAUGUCAAAUAGAUUUGGUUGUCUUCCCAUAACCCAGGUUCGAGUCCUGGUUCCACCU